GAUUGAACUUAAGAGUUUGAUCCUGGCUCAGAUUGAACGCUGGCGGCAUGCCUAACACAUGCAAGUCGAACGG
rnacentral:rRNA from 1 species